rnacentral:rRNA from 1 species
UACGGAGGGUGCGAGCGUUAAUCGGAAUUACUGGGCGUAAAGCGCACGUAGGCUGUGUCGCAAGUCAGGGGUGAAAGCCCACGGCUUAACCGUGGAAUUGCCUUUGAAACUGCGGUACUGGAAUUCGAGAGGGGACGGCGGAAUUUCAGGUGUAGGAGUGAAAUCCGUAGAUAUCUGAAGGAACAUCAGUGGCGAAGGCGGCCGUCUGGAUCGAUAUUGACGCUGAGGUGCGAAAGCGUGGGGAGCAAAC